rnacentral:misc_RNA from 1 species
UACGUAGGGUGCAAGCGUUGUCCGGAAUUAUUGGGCGUAAAGAGCUCGUAGGCGGUUUGUCGCGUGGGGUGUGAAAACCCAAGGCUUAACCUUGGGCCUGCAUUCGAUACGGGCAGACUAGAGUUCGGUAGGGGAGACUGGAAUUCCUGGUGUAGCGGUGAAAUGCGCAGAUAUCAGGAGGAACACCGGUGGCGAAGGCGGGUCUCUGGGCCGAUACUGACGCUGAGGAGCGAAAGCGUGGGGAGCGAACAGG